UGUCGUGGCUCAGGGAUGUGUUGAAUUAUAGAGAUGCUUAUGCGGCACAAAGAUAAGAUUAAUUUACCCAAAUGUACUAAGAAUUACCACACAACUUAAAUUUACUUAAAUAUUGAUUUGUUAUCCUGUGCCAGACAGAUGGCUGAUAUUCUGAGAAGAGACCUUGAUGAAAUGAAGUUUUAUGGGAACAAAGAUUUUGAAAACACGUCGCAGUGUUUAGAUUUUAACAAAAAUAAGGCACCAAGGUCGAAAAUAGUUCUAGUUCAUAAUGAAGAAAAUGUCAACCGUUUUCUAGCUUGGCGAUCUCCGCACGCACCCGAAUAUAAUAGACAAAUACAAUACAAUAGUACACAAAACGUAACAUAAAGAACUAAAGACCGAGCAACACGAACUCCAACAAAACGGUAUAUAUUUCAUACAAGUAUAGAACUAUAUGAAGCGUCGUAACUGUUGCGGCGACGUCAAUAACGUUGUCGUUGUUUUUUUGUUUUUUUACACUCAAGAUUCAACUUUAACAGGGUAUAGCUUGAAAAGUAGCACGGUUGCUAAGGACUUUCUUUGCACCAAUCGAUUCCUCAGACAUUUUAGAAUCGUCUCAUAAAUUUUAAAAAAAAUCGAUUGUCUAAUAUAAUAGAAAAUCUUGGAAAUGUAACAAUUCCUGCCGAAUUUCACGAUUUUCCCUAUAUAUCCUUUGUAAUUUUGGUGUAUGAUGCUGUUAACUUCAACAGCUCGUAUCUCAAAAACGAAAACGGUUACCCCCUUUUUUUAUUUUAUUUUCCGAUUUAUUUUUACAAGCAG
rnacentral:lncRNA from 1 species